rfam:Felis catus isolate Cinnamon breed Abyssinian chromosome F1, whole genome shotgun sequence.
GCCUGGGUGGCUCAGUCGGUUAAGCGUCUGACUUCGGUUCACAUCAUGAUCUCACAGCUCAUGGGUUCGAACCCCGCAUCAGGCU